ensembl:lncRNA METTL14-DT METTL14 divergent transcript
AGGGACCCAGUAAGGGAUCUGUUGCGCCACAGGGGUCUCCAGGGCCCUCGCAGGUUGGGGUGGUCUGAGCUAGUCUGAAGGAGGACAGUCAGCUGACUUCUCCUUUAUCUCUCUUUCCCAGGAUAGCAGGUUCCCUUGGUGUAUUACAGUUUCUGAAGUGUUGAUUCCCUUUUCAAUUGAUUCCACAGAUGACAGUCCUGACGUUUAAAAAAUUGCCAGAUAACCUUUAAUUUUUUUUUUUUUAACAGAACACAAACUUAAGCCAGAUUGCCUAGGAUUGAACCUUGGCCUCUCACUUCCUAGACGAGUGGCCUUGGCUAGUUAACCACCUUCGUGAGCCUCAGUUUUGUCAUCUGUAAAAUGGGAGUCAUAAGUGUCUACCUCACAGAGCUGUGAUUGAAAGGAUAAAUAGCACCUUGCACAUAGCGGUGUAGAAGUGCUUGUUAUUGUUAAUAUUUUAUUUACCUUCACGCAGGUAACAGCCACAACAUCUGCCCACUCUUCCCCACACCUUACUGUCCCUUGAAAUGUUUCCCAUUUUACUAUAGUAUGCAUUUUUUGGCUUCUUCCCUUUAGGGAAAUGAGUAUGUGAUAGUAAAGCGUGUCUUGGUUUAUGUCCUAGGAGUCAGAAGCUAAGAGACUCCUUUUUGUGCUUGUACAUUUGUCUUAACUGAAAAUAACCCAAGGAUAAGGAAACAAAUAGCUUCCUGAAAUUACUCGGAUUGCGGGGGUGAGGGGUGAGGGCUGGGGGGUGGUGAUUCUGUCUUCAUAGGAUGGCAGCAAAGGCCAAAGUCUUAUUUGAGUUAUUACCAUUAUUAUUCACCACACUUGCCAUCUUAUUUCAAGCCUACAGUGGCGGAAGUGGAGUAAGACAUCAUGUUGCCUCAAGUUUAAUUGGAAAUCGCGUGCCUUGUGAAGAAUGGACACUCAGUAGAUGCUUAUUGAUGAACCUGUUGGUUGAGGAUAACUCGCUAACUUUUCUGAGCUUUGUUGGAAAAACUGUCACUGUAUCUCUAUGCAUUACAGAAAAUGGCUAGUUAAAAACUUGUCAAGAGAUGGGGUUUUACUAUGUUGGAGAAGCUGGUCUCAAACUCCUGGGCUCAAGUCAUCCUCCCGCCUCAGCCUCCCAAAGUGCUGAGAUUACAGACACCCAAACACACUUGGAGGUCAUGUUCAAUAUGAAUACCUCACAGAGAAGGAAAUUUACACACAAGAAGUACAUCUGCAGAAAGCCAGCUGGCAUGUCAACCAUUCAAAAACUCAGGAAGUUCGGGAUAAAGAAGACUCAGGAAGACAAGUAUGAAGCAUAAUCUGCGACGUUCCAUGCGGCAGACGUUAGACACAUACAAGAGAGUUGUUGAAAAGUGGAAUUUAUCUUCAUAUAAACAACACUGAGCUAAAUCUCAAUAUUUCAGAUCUCUAGAACUAUCCAUCAAUGAAAUGGAUUGCAAAUAGAAAGAGUAAUACCAUGUCACUUAAGAAUACAAUCAUGGACGAUGCUGCCACCUGCUGUUGGGGGCCACUGCAGAAGAAAUUCCAGAACACUGGACUGGAGAGCACCUCACUUUCCUUACAGCUCUAAGUUUCUGACUCAGUGACCUGAUUCAGUACCAUAUACACAAAGACCCACUUACACAAAUGACUGUUCUUCACACUAGGCCCAUGGAGACAGGGAUAAAAUUCUGAAUUUGCUCAGAUACCUUCUCUGCUAUUGACAUCUAGGCAUUACACAAUUCAUCUCUUCAUACUUAACCUUUGAAGUUUGCUACUUCUCAGAGAGACUAAUGAGUAGUGAGCAAAUAUCCUGAAGCUGAGAAUGCUUCUACCUCCUCUCAAAACAACAGAAUAUUCAUCAAAACACAGCAGUUCUGCACUUAACUUUAGGCCUUUUCUAACACCUCAUUUCUUGGCAGUAACUGUGGCCAGAAUAGCUCUUUCCACAGAGAAAGGACCUUUUGAAAGGAUAGGGUCUCUAGAUAGAAAAGCAAAUGCCUCAUUCCAGAAGGUCUUCAAGAAGAAAAUGUUGUGGUGAUAACAAACAUAACUGAUUAUAAUCUAUUCUGUGAAAAAAGCUUAUGAAACAGUAGAUGUGUGUAUCUAGUACAUAAGAGCUGAAUGUCAAUAUAUAUAUAUAUAUAGAUAUAUACACACACUCAAAUAAAUAAUAGUUAUCUCUAACU